GAUGAACGCUGGCGGCGUGCCUAAUACAUGCAAGUCGAGCGAACGGACGAGAAGCUUGCUUCUCUGAUGUUAGCGGCGGACGGGUGAGUAACACGUGUAUAACCUACCUAUAAGACUGGGAUAACUUCGGGAAACCGGAGCUAAUACCGGAUAAUAUUUUGCACCGCAGGGUUCAAAAGUGAAAGUCGGCCUUGCUGUCACUUAUAGAUGGAUCCGCGCUGCAUUAGCUAGUUGGUAGGGUAACGGCUUACCAAGGCGACGAUGCAUAGCCGACCUGAGUGGGUGAUCGGCCACACUGGAACUGGGACACGGUCCAGACGCCUACGGGAGGCAGCAGUAGGGAAUCUUCCGCAAUGGGCGAAAGCCUGACGGAGCAACGCCGCGUGAGUGAUGAAGGUCUUCGGAUCGUAAAGCUCUGUUAUUAGGGAAGAACAUAUGUGGAAUUAACUGUGCACAUCUUGACGGUACCUAAUCAGAAAGCCACGGCUAACUACGUG
rnacentral:rRNA from 1 species